rnacentral:piRNA from 1 species
UNCAGAGUGAAUUCCAGGACAGCCAGGC